GUCUGCAUCCCAUUUGAUGUUCCAUUGAUACUAGCUUACCUUAGAAAAGGCUUAACAUCUCAAAGGAAAUAUAACUUUGCUUCAUCAUUUCAUUGAUUUCAUUUUUCAAGAACCCGCUCACUAGAAACAAGAGAUUGGCACUUCAGUCUGAGGACCUCAACUCUCUGCUCUGGUCCCCAAGGUCCCAGACUGCUUCAGACACCCCUCAGAUGAGACUUGCAAAUGAGAUUUGCCUACUUGGCACAACAGAGAGCAGAAAGAUGGUCCUGGAGAGGAAAGGAUCACAGCAUCGGCGGAUUUGGUUUUACUGAGUUGUGCAUUGUACCUAUGGUCUUUAAAGAAUUGAUGAUGUUGCCUGGCAACCAUUAGGGCAGGAGAGUGUGUUUGACUUACUAACCUUUUCAAAGGUUUCCUAGUGGGUUUAGUGGAUAUGGUGGACUUCAGAAGAUCAUUAAA